rnacentral:lncRNA from 1 species
UGGCCAGGUCAUCAAUAACUACCUGGAUGCCAACGAGCCUGUAUCCUUGGAGGCCCGUGUGAGUCGCAUGCAUUUCCACGACACCCAGAGGAAGGUCGACUACGUGCUCGCCUACCACUACCGGAAACGUGGGGUGCACCAUGGCUCCCCUGCCCACUCACUGGCUGUAAUCUCCAAUGGGGAGACGGGCAAGGACCGCCAUGCUGGGGGACCCGGUGACAUCGAGCUGGGGCCACUUGAUGCCCUGGAGGAGGAGCGGAGGGAACAGCGGGAAGAGUUUGAGAGCAACCUGAUGGCAGCCGGCCUGGAGCUGGAGAAGGACUUGGAGAGCAAAAGCCAGGGAUCCGUCUUUGUCCGGAUACACGCCCCGUGGCAGGUGCUGGCCAGAGAGGCAGAAUUCUUGAAGAUCAAAGUCCCCACCAAGAAAAUGUACGAGAUCAAAGCAGGAGGCAGCAUCACGAAGAAGCUCAACACGGUUCUGCAGAAGCUGAGUGUGCCGCUGCAGCCCAGAGUUCCGGAGCACAGCAACAACAGGAUGAAGAGCCUCUCCUACCCGUUCUCCCGGGAGAAAAUGUACCUGUGAGUGCGGGGCAGGCGUGGGGAGGGGAUGUGGAGGAGGAAAGUGCAGCCACACAGUGAGUGCCCAGUGUCUGGGGGCCACAGGAAGGAGCGUGCUCUCCCCAUGAAAUACUUCCAGUGCCUCUGACUCCCUCUCCUCAUGUGAGAUUAUCCCAAACAGCCCUGGGGAUCUGUCCAGUGGAGACUGUACCUGACGGUUGGAGAGCCGGGGUGUGCAGCCAGCUGUGAACUGUGGAGCGCUGUGGAGAACCCAGUGAUAAGACACCUGCCGGCGUUCUGCAGGAGCCCAGCUCCCCAUUUAAUGUGUUUGGACAUCAUGAGAUAAACCAGAGGGAAGGGGCCGCAGCUUCUGGGUUUUGUAUUCCCACGACAUAUUCAUGCGCUUGCUGACCCUGAGGAGCCUCCCACUCCCACCCAGGAGGAGUGCAUCAAAGCCCUCUUCAGGACUGGCCACCCGGGAACCAGCUGGAAGCAGGAGUUGUGGCUGGGAAGCGAGAAGCGCAGACCCCAGGCUCUCCUGCUGCAGGAGCUGAGGGGAGAGGUGUGGUGUCAGAAGUGACGAAGGAAUUGAGCAAGAGAGGCGAGGAGGGCCAUGGAGUGGCGGCAAAGACAGGAGGAUUCAUCCUCCCUGGGAGGUGUAGUCAAGGAGGAGCAGGAUUUCUGGGUCCUGGGAUGGCAUCUGCAGCCCAUCUCUGCCACAUGAGACAGUGAUUCUAUGCUGCUCCGCAGCGAAUUCUCACCCCGCCACUGUGAGAUGAGCCACCAGAUAGAACCGUCCUUCUGUGACAGACAGGAAAAUGAGUCCAAGGGCAGCCCAGGGUCAUGCAGCCACAGUGGCUGAGGUGGGACUGGCCUGGUGACACCUUGCCUGCCACUCUGCUUUGUGUGUGUGCAAAUGGGGACUGAACCCAGGGCUUUCACACUGAGCUACAUUUCCAGCCCUUAUUUUUAAAAAUUAAUUAAUUAAUUUUUUAUUUUGAGACAGCUACCUGGGUUGGGCUUGAACUUGUGAUCCUCCUGUUUCAGGCCCCCAAAGUGCUGAAUUACAUGCAUGCACCACCAUGCCUGGUUCCUGCUGUUCUUUUGCAUUCUGGCUUUUUCACAUCUCACAUCUCGCCUUCCCUGGCCUUUGAAUGGCCCCCUCCCACACAUCUAAUUCACUUCCCUUCUGCUGUCUUUCAGGGCAGUCUAUGAACCCCGUCCCUUUGGGAAAACUAUUUUUCCCAACCAAAAGUCCAUCCUCUGUGCUCUCAGGUGUUGUGUUCUACUCCACGUCACCUGAAGAUGUGCAUCCCCAGUGGCUGGUGACUCCCGGGGGCUGGGAGUACGGCGAUCCUCUGUGCAUCCUCUAGCACAGUGCUCUGGGCAUGAGGAGUCCUCCACACAUGCCUUUUUUGAGUGAAAAUUUCCAUAUACGGAGUGGUGAACAGACAGGAAUUUAGUAUCUCAUUCAGUGGUGGUAAAUCUAUGGCACACGUUUUUCUUUUAGGACAAAAGAUGUUAAUGUAUGAUUUGUUUUUUCUAAACUAAGACCACAGUAUUCAGGUUUAAUAGCAUUGUUGGCAUUUCCUGAAAAAUAAGUGGGUUUUGGGUUGUAGUUUGGGUAUUUGGUCCCUAAAAGGUUCAUCAUCACUGAUCUAAUUGAUUCGAGGAGAGUGACAACAUGAAAUGAAAUUUUGCAAAACAAAAAGAGUUAUAAUCCCAAUACUCUGAAACUAGACUUAUUUGUUUUUUGUAUUUUUAUUGUCUCUGUCCAUACACAGAUAUAUUGCCUACAUGGCUUUGUUUUGAAAACUUAUUGGAAUAUUUAUCUAUCAUGGUAUAAUUUUUUCUAUUUAUAAACUGUUCAUAAUUAUAAUUGUCAAGGAC